CUGUCCUGCUAGCAUAUUGAAAGAAACCUCAGAUGUCUAGUAAACCAUGGGUUAAACCAACAAACUCAAUCUUCUAAAAUAACACCAGCCUGCCAUUCAGGUGUAUCAGUCCUUGUGAGCCACUGGACCACUGGCAACAAUUUGGCGCCCAGACUGGAACCUGAAGAAGUUUAGGAGGACGCUGAGGGAACGCUGUUUUGUGUGGAGCUCCACGGAAGAAAAAGAAAAAGAAAAGGAUUGUAUCGGACAAUGAAGCAACAGCCUCCAGAUUAAUCCUGAAACAGGAACAGAGAUGGACAAUGGACAAGACAAAAGACAACUUGUACCUGGACUUACUGAUCAGAAAACCACUCAACUAUUUGGGUCAGACGGUCUCCAGUGAAU
rnacentral:lncRNA from 1 species